AAUAUAUAUAUAUAUAUGAGAAAUCAUAUUUUUGGCCAGUGUGCGAUAUCUAAUGUUUCUUUUGCAACGUGUUUGAGAACGUCUAUAACGAGAUUGUACGGAACUUCUCAUUUACGAACGUUCCACAGAUUAUGACCUAAGUUAAUUAUAAAUAAUUAUUCAUAUAUACAGGAGAGAAAUACGUGAAAAGAUAUCUGACUAGUAUAUCAUGCAUGAUGUAACAUAUAUUCUUACAUCAUAGUGUCAUAUAUAAGUAAGAAAAAAUUCGAUCUAUUGAGAGAAUAUCUUUUUCUUCUUUUAUGUAUUCUUUUUAUGUUAUAGACAUCUAGAAAUUACAUAAAAAAAUAAUUUCUAUUACUUAUAUAUUAAUAGGGAUAGAGUUCGUUAAAUUCUUGAGAUUGUUAAGUUGUACACGACACAUUUAAUGGAAUACCCGAGAAAUAAAACAGAUAAUUAAACGAAGAUGCAAUCAGAUUUAACUGCUACUGAUAGAGCGAUUUUUCGAAAAAAGAUAUCACCGAUCUCAAUAUUAUAAAUAGAGCGUUUGGUGUCGUGCUUGCUGUGAUCCUUGCUCUCGUUGUCGUCUGCUUAUUUUUAGAUUAUUACGGCCGCGCAUACAUGGACCAUGCAGCGCGUAGUGCCAAGAAAUGCGACAAAUCGGCAAAUCUAGGAUGAAUAAUAUUACGUAAAAAUCAAUUGGCCAAAAAUAUUUGAAAUUGUUAGCCCCAAAAUCUAAGUUUUAAUUAAUAUUAUUAGUAUAUAUCUUUGUAAAUAGUCUUUCGAAUGUACCGAUAUCGCCGGCGUCUUGAUCUCGAAUGGAUCUUCGUUUAAGUAGCAACAAUAAUGAAAAAAAAAAAUAAUUAGGGAAAGAUGACAUCUGCAUCAUGUAACAUUAGCGUGAUGAUCAUUUUGAUCAUAUAAGUACGCUCUGUAAAUAGUUCCUUUCUAUCUGUCUCUUUCAGAUAUAUAUAUAAUUAGAGCUCUUAGUAUUCUAAUUACGCAGUCUUUGCAUCAAAUUUUAAUUCAACUUGAUUUUAAUUCGCAUUUGUGUAUAUAAUUAUACAAUAUUAAAAGAGAGGCCGACGUGAGAUGUCAUCGAAUUGUAAUCGUCUAGAAAAAAUCUAUUAUAAUAUAAUAUAUUUACGUUAUUAGUAGCAAAAUUAUUUGAUGCAAUGGAAUGCACGUUCUGAAUUGCCAAUUUGUGAUUAUGACGAAUUUAUCUUGCGUUCCCGCGCGGAAUUUCGGCUUCAUCAAAGCGAGAAUGCCUGAGGAAUUCUCAAUUAGACCAAUUUGACGAUACUUCAUGCGUUAUUAUUCCUUCUUACGAUCGUUUGUAUGGAAGCUAAAACGCGAUGCCAUAGGGAUGUGGUUGCAUGUAGUAAAGUUUUACACAGGUAUCGAUUAGAUAUAAUCAUGUAAGUGAAGAGAUCGAAUUGUUAAACUUUGUAUGACGGUAGUUUUUUUUGAAUCGUGCACGCGUUCGGCGUUCGUUGUAACGAGGAUCGCAUUGCAAAUAAACGAUGUAUUGUCUCGUAUUGGAGAUAUGCUACCUCAAAGGAAGCGUUUUCUUAUAUUUCAAUGCGUACGUACACGCGGCGAAAUUCGCAUCACGAGAAAAAA